GGGCGGUUAGCUCAGUUGGUUAGAGCGUCUGCCUUACAAGCAGAAGGUUGUUGGUUCGAGUCCAGCACCGCCCACCA
rnacentral:tRNA from 1 species